rnacentral:rRNA from 1 species
GACGAACGCUGGCGGCGUGCUUAACACAUGCAAGUCGAACGGAAAGGCCCUGCUUGCAGGGUACUCGAGUGGCGAACGGGUGAGUAACACGUGGGUGAUCUGCCCUGCACUUCGGGAUAAGCCUGGGAAACUGGGUCUAAUACCGGAUAGGAGCCAUUUUUAGUGUGAUGGUUGGAAAGUUUUUUCGGUGUAGGAUGAGCUCGCGGCCUAUCAGCUUGUUGGUGGGGUAAUGGCCUACCAAGGCGGCGACGGGUAGCCGGCCUGAGAGGGUGGACGGCCACAAUGGGACUGAGAUACGGCCCAGACUCCUACGGGAGGCAGCAGUGGGGAAUAUUGCACAAUGGGCGCGAGCCUGAUGCAGCGACGCCGCGUGGGGGAUGAAGGCCUUCGGGUUGUAAACUCCUUUCGCUAGGGACGAAGCUUUUUGUGACGGUACCUAGAUAAGAAGCACCGGCUAACUACGUG